GAAACACUCGUCUAUAUUGAAUGUGUUUGGUACACAAAAACAAAAACAAAGUACUAACAUAAUUUGCUGUCCAAUUGCUUAUAAGCUCGUUUCCUAUAAUGUUAUGUAAAUGUAUGGCAAUCGAAACUAGCCAGAAAGAAUACUAGAGUUUUUCAACAAGUUCCUUCCUGCGACUGCACUGUAAUUGCUCCCAUGUGCUGUUUAACCACAAUGCCUAAUAAGUAAAGUUGAUAAACUCAAAGCUUACUGGGAGGAACUCCUACUGGUGCAUUUCUUGAUUUCUUCUCCACUGUUCGAGAAAGCUCUUUAACUGCAUCUUUAGGUAGAUGUCGAGGUCUGCUAAGCCAGAGUCCUCCAUCGACAGGCACGAUGGUUCCAUUGAUGUAUUUGCCAGCAUCUGAAGCAAGGUACAGAGCAGCCAUGGCAAUAUCAUAUUUCUCCCCAAGUUUGUACAGAGGCAUGUAUUCUUUGCUCUUAUUGCUUAUCUCUUCCGGUCCAAGUUUACGCAUGCCAGCAGUAUCACCUAUAGGGCCUGGUGCAAUACCAUUGACCCUAAUAUCAUAGUCUGUACCCCAUUCUAGAGCCAAAUUUCUAGUGACUGCAUCAACAGCAGCCUUGGCAGCAGCUACAUGGAUUUGAUACCAAGAUGCAGUGUAAUGCAAAGUAGCACUGAUGUUCAAUAUCAUUCCACCAGAUGUUGAACUCCUCCCAGGUCCCCCUUUCUUGAUAUAGUUAAGUGCCUCGUGGCACAUAGUGAAUGUGCCAACAGAAUCAAUAUCUAGUACUGUCCUGAAGCCAUUAGGAGACAAAUCCUCAGGAGACACAAGGAAAUUGCCAGCUGCAGCAUUAACAAGAAUGUCGAGCUUCCCAAACUGUUUGACAGUUAACUCCACAACUCUUUUUGCAUCUUCUUGCUUGCGGACGUCCCCUUGCAAGCCAAUUGCCGGAAUACCAAAGGAUUGAAGGUAGGAGACGGCGGAGUCGAGGACGGCCUUGCGGCGUCCCAUGAUGGCAACGGAGGCACCAUGUUUGCCGAACUGAGUGGAGAUCUCAAGGCCGAUGCCAGAACCGCCUCCGGUCAACAGUGCUACUUUCCCUUUGAGUAUGUCUGAUUUGAAAGGAGACGCGCACUCCAUUUUUCCCUUGUUGCUU
rnacentral:misc_RNA from 1 species